UACGUAGGGUCCGAGCGUUGUCCGGAUUUAUUGGGCGUAAAGAGCAUGUAGGUGGAUUUGUAAGUCUUGUCUUAAAUCUUCAGGCUUAACUUGGAGCUUGGACAGGAUACUGCAUAUCUUUGAGGUUAGUCGGGGCAAGUGGAAUUAGUGGAGUAGCAGUGAAAUGCGUUGAUCUCACUAAGAACACCAAUAGCGAAGGCAGCUUGCUAGACUAUCUCUGACACUGAGAUGCGAAAGCGUGGGGAGCGAA
rnacentral:rRNA from 1 species